UGAAUUAUUUUGUUAAAGUAAAACUACUACGUCAAAUUAUUUCCUCCUGUCCUGUUAAGUUAUUAGUAACAUCGUGACUUUAAAUAAAGGAAUUAGUACUACGAUAUUAUAUAUGAUUUUUAAAUUUGAACUCGCCGUGUAUAAUUUAAAGUUUGGAAAAUGGAGAGGGUUAUCUCAUAGUUGUCUUUUAUGUUAUCAAGGUCCGAAUGCGAUUUAGUAAGCUGGAAUAGCUCCGUUAUGUCAUUCUGGACUUGCUUGCAAAAUUUGGUGUCAUUUGGAGUUGAUUUGAUAUGGUUCGGAUGCUUUGUUGGAAUUCCAAAAGUUCUUGAAGUUCAUAGUGAUGUUUCAUGCAUUUUGGCAUCUGAUUCGUGGUUCUAGAGGUUGUUUUGGUGUUCCGAUCGCGCAAGCGUGUUCGUGUUAUGUGUUCAGGCCUGUGGGGUGUUUGGUUUGGAGCCUUAGGGGCUCUGGUGAGUUUCGGAUUAACUUCAGAUUGUUUUGGUUAAACUUAUGUGUACUAGUUUUGGUGUUCUCACAUUUGCGAGAUUUUGGUCACAAUUAGUCAUCGCAAUUGCGAACCAGGGCUGCUAGGAACUGAGUCACAUUUGCGAAGAAAUUACCGCAUUUGCGAAGCCUUUAGAGUUCGCAUUGGCGAACUCCUUAUCGCAUUUGCGAUGAAGGAAAAACUAGUCCAGGCUUGCAUUUGUGAAGUUUUCUUCGCUUUUGCGAGUUUGCAUUUGCGAACCCAGUGUAGCAAAUGUGACAUCUGCAUCCUGCUAAAAGUUGGGUAUUCCGAGUUAUCAUUUUAUUUUUCGUAUUUUUUAACCCUGGAGUCGAGGUGAGGUGAUUUUAUGAAGAGAUUUUCAUAUCAAGUCAUUGAGUAAGUAUCCUUUAUUAAUUCCCAUCUAUAUUUUGUGAUUAUAUCUUAGAUUUAACAUCAAAUUCAUAAGAAUCUAAAAGAAAAUUUGGGAAAAAUUGUGAAAUCUUUCAAAAAUGUAAAUUGAUGAUUUGAAGGGCCGAAUGGUAUCAGGAUUUGAUAAAUUUUGUGUGGGUGAACUCAUAUAAGAAUGGGUAUUCAGUUUUUGUAAAUUUUUCGGGUUCCGAGGUACGGGCCUGGGGAGUUGACUUUUUUUGACAUUUUACAAAUUGUGUAAGAAUCAUGGCUUUGUUAAUUGAAAUUGCUUUCUCUUGCAUUGUUUGAUGUAUUCAAGUCGUUUUUGGCUGGAUUGAGCCGAGCGUUGAUGAAUUGGUAAAGGAAUAGCUAAAUUUUGUAUUGAAUUGGCGGGAUUGAGGUAAACAUUUUUUCUAAACUUGUGUGAGGGACUCCCCCUUAGGAUUUAAGUCUUCCAUGCUAAUUGUAGUCUGUGCACAUGAAGUAAUGAGUGUGUGCUCAGACUUAUUUGUGGAGAAUUUGCUUUUAGGGUUCUUAUGUCCUUGUGUUCAUUAAGUGCGAAGUCUUUCGAUAUGAUUGGGUCUCUAAUUGUUUGUUCUACCUCUAUAUGGUCCAUACGAUGUUAUUAGUAUACCUCCAAUCCUUACUUGUUACUUGGCCCUUAAUUUUCUUAAUUGAUGUGAUUUCCUAGUUAUAACUUUGUUAUUUUUUAUUGUGAAUUCCUCUAUGACCUCGUGCUUACAUUCGAUGUGUCCUAGUUAUUGUGGAAAGCUGGUGUAGUAUUCACGUGCCUUAUAUGUCUCGUUGUUUUGUAAAGGUUGUUGUGCUUCUUGGUUUCUUUGUGGUUCUCUUAUUGCCUUGUACUCAUACUCUUGGUGGUAGAAUUCCUUGUGAUUUGGUUGUUGAAUUGUUGUUGUUGUUGUUGUUGUUGUCGUUGAUUUUACACUAUGUCUGGUUGUUGAUAUGUUGGAGAGGAAUAAGGAGGAAUUGAUAUUGUCUUGUGGGAUCGGGUUACACGCUGCAACAAGGAGUAAUAAGGGUGGGAAAGAUUGCAUGCCACAAUAGGAGGAAUAAGAGCGAUAUAUAUUGAGGCGUAAUAAGGGUGGGCUGGUGGGAUCGGGUUGCACGCCGCAACAAAGAGUAAUAAGGGUGAAUGGUCAUGUUAUUAUUGAUAUGGUGAUAUAUAUGUUAUUCACUUUUAUUGUAAUUGUUUUGGAGCAAUAACGGAG
rnacentral:lncRNA from 1 species